UGCAGUCGAACGAUGAAGCCCAGCUUGCUGGGUGGAUUAGUGGCGAACGGGUGAGUAACACGUGAGUAACCUGCCCUUAACUCUGGGAUAAGCCUGGGAAACUGGGUCUAAUACCGGAUAGGAGCGUCCACCGCAUGGUGGGUGUUGGAAAGAUUUAUCGGUUUUGGAUGGACUCGCGGCCUAUCAGCUUGUUGGUGAGGUAAUGGCUCACCAAGGCGACGACGGGUAGCCGGCCUGAGAGGGUGACCGGCCACACUGGGACUGAGACACGGCCCAGACUCCUACGGGAGGCAGCAGUGGGGAAUAUUGCACAAUGGGCGMAAGCCUGAUGCAGCGACGCCGCGUGAGGGAUGACGGCCUUCGGGUUGUAAACCUCUUUCAGUAGGGAAGAAGCGAAAGUGACGGUACCUGCAGAAGAAGCACCGGCUAACUACGUGCCAGCAGCCGCGGUAAUACGUAGGGUGCGAGCGUUAUCCGGAAUUAUUGGGCGUAAAGAGCUCGUAGGCGGUUUGUCGCGUCUGUCGUGAAAGUCCGGGGCUUAACCCCGGAUCUGCGGUGGGUACGGGCAGACUAGAGUGCAGUAGGGGAGACUGGAAUUCCUGGUGUAGCGGUGGAAUGCGCAGAUAUCAGGAGGAACACCGAUGGCGAAGGCAGGUCUCUGGGCUGUAACUGACGCUGAGGAGCGAAAGCAUGGGGAGCGAACAGGAUUAGAUACCCUGGUAGUCCAUGCCGUAAACGUUGGGCACUAGGUGUGGGGACCAUUCCACGGUUUCCGCGCCGCAGCUAACGCAUUAAGUGCCCCGCCUGGGGAGUACGGCCGCAAGGCUAAAACUCAAAGGAAUUGACGGGGGCCCGCACAAGCGGCGGAGCAUGCGGAUUAAUUCGAUGCAACGCGAAGAACCUUACCAAGGCUUGACAUGUUCUCGAUCGCCGUAGAGAUACGGUUUCCCCUUUGGGGCGGGUUCACAGGUGGUGCAUGGUUGUCGUCAGCUCGUGUCGUGAGAUGUUGGGUUAAGUCCCGCAACGAGCGCAACCCUCGUUCAUGUUGCCGCACGUMAUGGUGGGGACUCAUGGGANACUGCCGGGUCACCUCGGAGGAAGGUGAGGACGACGUCAAUCAUCAUGCCCCUUAUG
rnacentral:rRNA from 1 species